rnacentral:rRNA from 1 species
AGACAGAGGGUGCGAACGUUGUUCGGAAUUACUGGGCGUAAAGCGCGUGUAGGCGGCUAUGCAAGUCGGGUGUGAAAGCCCUGGGCUUAACCGAGGAAGUGCACUCGAAACUGCAUAGCUCGGGUCCCGGAGAGGAUGGUGGAAUUCUCGGUGUAGAGGUGAAAUUCGUAGAUAUCGAGAGGAACACCGGUGGCGAAGGCGGCCAUCUGGACGGGUACUGACGCUGAGACGCGAAAGCGUGGGUAGCAAACAGGAUUAGAAACCCUAGUAGUCC